GCUGGGUGUGGUGGCGCACGCCUGUAGUCCCAGCCACUCGGGAGGCUGAGGCAGAAGAAUCGCUUGAACCUGGGAGGCGGAGGUUGCAGUGAGCCGAGAUCGUGCCACUGCACUCCAGCCUGGGCAACAGAGUGAGACUCUGUCUCAA
rnacentral:SRP_RNA from 1 species